GCAGCAGGCGCGCAAAUUACCCAAUCCCGAUCCGGGGAGGUAGUGACAAUAAAUACUGAUAUAGGGCUCUUUUGGGUCUUAUAAUUGGAAUGAGUACAAUCUAAAUCCCUUAACGAGGAACAAUUGGAGGGCAAGUCUGGUGCCAGCAGCCGCGGUAAUUCCAGCUCCAAUAGCGUAUAUUAAAGUUGUUGCAGUUAAAAAGCUCGUAGUUGAACCUUGGGCCCGUCCUGCCGGUCCGCCUCACCGCGAGUACUGGUCCGGAUGGGCCUUUCUUUCUGGGGAAUCCCAUGGCCUUCACUGGCUGUGGCGGGGAACCAGGACUUUUACUGUGAAAAAAUUAGAGUGUUCAAAGCAGGCCUUUGCUCGGAUACAUUAGCAUGGAAUAAUAAAAUAGGACGUGCGGUUCUAUUUUGUUGGUUUCUAGGACCGCCGUAAUGAUUAAUAGGGAUAGUCGGGGGCGUCAGUAUUCAGCUGUCAGAGGUGAAAUUCUUGGAUUUGCUGAAGACUAACUACUGCGAAAGCAUUCGCCAAGGAUGUUUUCAUUAAUCAGGGAACGAAAGUUAGGGGAUCGAAGACGAUCAGAUACCGUCGUAGUCUUAACCAUAAACUAUGCCGACUAGGGAUCGGGCGGUGUUUCUAUGAUGACCCGCUCGGCACCUUACGAGAAAUCAAAGUUUUUGGGUUCUGGGGGGAGUAUGGUCGCAAGGCUGAAACUUAAAGAAAUUGACGGAA
rnacentral:rRNA from 1 species